AUUGAACGCUGGCGGCAUGCCUUACACAUGCAAGUCGAACGGCAGCAUGAUCUAGCUUGCUAGAUUGAUGGCGAGUGGCGAACGGGUGAGUAAUACAUCGGAACGUGCCCUGUAGUGGGGGAUAACUAGUCGAAAGAUUAGCUAAUACCGCAUACGACCUGAGGGUGAAAGUGGGGGACCGCAAGGCCUCAUGCUAUAGGAGCGGCCGAUGUCUGAUUAGCUAGUUGGUGAGGUAAAGGCUCACCAAGGCGACGAUCAGUAGCUGGUCUGAGAGGACGAUCAGCCACACUGGGACUGAGACACGGCCCAAACCCCUACGGGAGGCAGCAGUGGGGAAUUUUGGACAGUGGGGGCAACCCUGAUCCAGCAAUGCCGCGUGUGUGAAGAAGGCCUUCGGGUUGUAAAGCACUUUUGUCCGGAAAGAAAUCGCACUUACUAAUAUUAGGUGUGGAUGACGGUACCGGAAGAAUAAGGACCGGCUAACUACGUGCCAGCAGCCGCGGUAAUACGUAGGGUCCAAGCGUUAAUCGGAAUUACUGGGCGUAAAGCGUGCGCAGGCGGUUGUGCAAGACCGAUGUGAAAUCCCCGGGCUUAACCUGGGAAUUGCAUUGGUGACUGCACGGCUAGAGUGUGUCAGAGGGGGGUAGAAUUCCACGUGUAGCAGUGAAAUGCGUAGAGAUGUGGAGGAAUACCGAUGGCGAAGGCAGCCCCCUGGGAUAACACUGACGCUCAUGCACGGAAGCGUGGGGAGCAAACAGGAUUAGAUACCCUGGUAGUCCACGCCCUAAACGAUGUCAACUAGUUGUUGGGGAUUCAUUUCCUUAGUAACGUAGCUAACGCGUGAAGUUGACCGCCUGGGGAGUACGGUCGCAAGAUUAAAACUCAAAGGAAUUGACGGGGACCCGCACAAGCGGUGGAUGAUGUGGAUUAAUUCGAUGCAACGCGAAAAACCUUACCUACCCUUGACAUGCCACUAACGAAGCAGAGAUGCAUUAGGUGCUCGAAAGAGAAAGUGGACACAGGUGCUGCAUGGCUGUCGUCAGCUCGUGUCGUGAGAUGUUGGGUUAAGUCCCGCAACGAGCGCAACCCUUGUCUCUAGUUGCUACGAAAGGGCACUCUAGAGAGACUGCCGGUGACAAACCGGAGGAAGGUGGGGAUGACGUCAAGUCCUCAUGGCCCUUAUGGGUAGGGCUUCACACGUCAUACAAUGGUGCAUACAGAGGGUUGCCAAGCCGCGAGGUGGAGCUAAUCCCAGAAAAUGCAUCGUAGUCCGGAUCGUAGUCUGCAACUCGACUACGUGAAGCUGGAAUCGCUAGUAAUCGCGGAUCAGCAUGCCGCGGUGAAUACGUUCCCGGGUCU
rnacentral:rRNA from 1 species